rnacentral:lncRNA from 1 species
UUACAAUCUAUCCCAGCAUCCUCAGCUCCAAUAACUGCCAGUUGAUGCUUGCCUGUCCCAGUGGAAUUAAUGGAAGCUGUCAACAGCCCGCCCCCGACCUCACUGGAUAUAACUGUGUCCUCGGCAGACGGCUUUGAUCCAGAGGCUUUGACAAGGCUACUGCUCAUCCAACUCAGCCAGAAAGUAGGGUAAACUGAGCGCUAAUAUCUGAGACAACUUUUUCAGGGUGGUAUCGAAUGAAGACUGGAUAGGUUCCAGAGAAUCAUUCUUCACAUACUAAAGAGCUGAAAACAGAAGGAGCUCAACAACUCAGACUCCAGAUCUUUCAGACAAUGGCUCACAAGAUUUCCCUUGCUUCUUGGGUUCCUCUCUAGCUCGCCAUCCACUGGUGAUCUUGUUGAUGUAUCUGUUUGGUUACUUCCUGACUCCCCACCGCCCCAUAUCCGUGGCCAGAAGAAAGCUCAGGAGCAAAGCUCAGGAGUACUGUCUGCCUUGUUUGUCACCAGUGUGACUAGCACAGUGUGUGACACAGCAGGCGAACAAAAUGAACCAGUUGUGGAAUAAAUCUCUCACCUGCUUUCAACUCACCCCUAAGAUCCCUGUCUAUGAGCACUUUACCCUACUCUAGCAGGUGGUUUGGUGCCCUGUCCAGACCUGAGGUUUCAGAUUCCUUCCCUUUGUUUAUUUUUUUGUUUUUGUUUUUGUUUUUUUUUACAUUGGUGUUUCUUUCUUUCUGGGUUUUUGUUUUCUUUCUUCUGUAUACUUUAAGUUCUAGGGUACAUGUGCACAACGUGCAGGUUUUUUACAUAGGUAUACGUGUGCCAUGUUGGUGUGCUGCACCCAUUAACUCAUCAUUUACAUUAGGUAUUUCUCCUAAGGCUAUUCGUCCCUCCUUCUCCUACCCACAUGACAGGCCCUGGAGUGUGAUGUUCCCCACCCCGUGUCCAAGUGUUCUCAUUGCUCAACUCCCACCUAUGAGUAAGAACAUGCCAUGUUUGGUUUUCUGUCCUUGCGAUAGUUUGCUCAGAAUGAUGGUUUCCAGCUUCAUCCAUGUACCUACAAACGACAUGAACUCAUCCUUUUUUAUGGCUGCAUAGUAUUCUGUGGUGUAUAUGUGCCACAUUUUCUUAAUCCAGUCUAUCACUGAUGGACAUUUGGGUUGGUUCCAAGUCUUUGCUAUUGUGAAUAGGGCUGCAAUAAACAUACAUAUGCAUGUGUCUUUAUAGUAGCAUGAUUUAUAAUCUUUUGGGUAUAUACUCAGUAAUGAGAUUGCUGGGUCAAAUGGUAUUUCUAGUUCUAGAUCCCUGAGGAAUCGGCACACUGACUUCCAC